rnacentral:rRNA from 1 species
GAUGAACGCUGGCGGCGUGCCUAAUACAUGCAAGUCGAGCGAACAGACGAGGAGCUUGCUCCUUUGACGUUAGCGGCGGACGGGUGAGUAACACGUGGAUAACCUACCUAUAAGACUGGGAUAACUUCGGGAAACCGGAGCUAAUACCGGAUAACAUAUUGAACCGCAUGGUUCAACAGUGAAAGACGGUUUUGCUGUCACUUAUAGAUGGAUCCGCGCCGCAUUAGCUAGUUGGUAAGGUAACGGCUUACCAAGGCAACGAUGCGCAGCCGACCUGAGAGGGUGAUCGGCCACACUGGAAUUGAGACACGGGCCAGACUCCUACGGGAGGAAGCAGUAGGGAAUCUUCCGCAAUGGGCGAAAGCCUGACGGAGCAACGCCGCGUGAGUGAAGAAGGUCUUCGGAUCGUAAAACUCUGUUAUUAGGGAAGAACAAAUGUGUAAGUAACUAUGCACGUCUUGACGGUACCUAAUCAGAAAGUCACGGCUAACUACGUG